AGGUAUUUUAGUGCAUAAUCACUUUAUGUUCGUGUUGUGGAGAACGACAAUAGCGCAACUUGCUAGGUCUGUCUACACAGCAAGCUCACAUUGCUGAUACGACCUGCGUGCGAGUA
rnacentral:precursor_RNA from 10 species